rnacentral:rRNA from 1 species
GAUGAACGCUAGCGAUAGGCUUAACACAUGCAAGUCGAGGGGCAGCACGGUCUUAGCUUGCUAAGACUGAUGGCGACCGGCGCACGGGUGCGUAACGCGUAUGCAACUUGCCUCACAGAGGGGGAUAACCCGUCGAAAGACGGACUAAUACCGCGUACACUCCAGCUUGGGCAUCCAAGCUAGAGGAAAUGAAUUUCGCUGUGAGAUAGGCAUGCGUCCCAUUAGCUAGUUGGUGAGGUAACGGCUCACCAAGGCAACGAUGGGUAGGGGAACUGAGAGGUUGAACCCCCACACUGGUACUGAGACACGGACCAGACCCCUACGGGAGGCAGCAGUGAGGAAUAUUGGUCAAUGGGCGAGAGCCUGAACCAGCCAAGUCGCGUGAAGGAUGACUGUCUUAUGGAUUGUAAACUUCUUUUAUACGGGAAUAACAAGAGU